CAUGGGCUGUAGUCUAUCAGGCCCCUCUGUCCAUGGGAUUCUCCAGUUACGCAGUUUAUCCAUCAUACUGCCCCGAUACACUCCUCCGUUCACCCGAACUCUCUGGGCAGCAUCCCACUGUUCACCUCGACUCCACUCAGGACCGCCAGCAGGCUGCGCGGGGAGUUCACGGCAGAGGCGCAAGGCCACGGGCUCGCUCCUCGGUUCUUAGGCGCACAGAGGCGAUGAUGCAGGAACAAUCUGCCGCUGUGGUUGUCACGGAGGCUGCAGCCCUGGUCUCACGCGAGGCCGUGUGCUCACCACCGCCCCAGCCCAGAAGUGUAGGGGUGCACCUGGGCGUACAGGAGUAACGCGGUUAUUUCUAGUAGGAUCGGCUCCGCAUGGACCCAGGUGCCCGGUGGAGCGGGAGCUGGGAGGAAGCCUCUGCUGGACUGUGUGUGCCAUGAGCUCUGGAUGAAGGAAAUGCCCUCUGAAGUUGAAGAUGGGAGCCUUCAGGUCAGACGUAUCAGAGCCCCAAGGCAGUGGGCGGAAGCUGUGAGUGUCAGGUCAGGAUGCUGGACCGUCUCCAGGGCUUCCUGAAGGUGGGUGUCAGAGGCUGGCAGUCACUUCUGUGAAGUGUUUGGACUUCCCACAGUAUCAGAUGUACUCACAAUGAAAGAACCACAGGGUACACCAAAGUCAAGCUGUAAAUUACUUGUAUUGUAUACAUUUGGGGUUGUCUGUUUCAUUCUUUCUCUCCAUUCAGAUGUCAGGUUGCUGUCAAUGAGCCCAUUUAUUCAGUCUGAAGCGUGGAUGAGGGACUUCCCUGUGUGGUCAGUACAGUGGUUAAGACUGCAUUCCCAAUGCAGGUUCGGGGGGCGCUCCACAGAAAAAGAGAGGC
ensembl:lncRNA